AGGUCGAAUGCUGGCGGCGUGUCUAAGGCAUGCAAGUCGAACGGACGGCCGGGGGGCUUCGCCCCCCGGCUUAGUGGCGAACGGGCGAGCACAAAGUUUGUACCUGCCCCGCAGUCGGGAAUAACGUUCCGAAAGGAACGCUAAUGCCGGAUGGUCCCGAAAGGGUAAAGCCGAAAGGCGCUGCGGGAGGGGCAUGCUUCCUAUCAGCUUGUUGGCGGGGUAAUGGCCCACCAAGGCUACGACGGGUAGCCGGUCUGAGAGGACGGCCGGCCGCAAUGGGACUGAGACACGGCCCAUACUCCUACGGGAGGCAGCAGUGAGGAAUCUUCCGCAAUGGGCGAAAGCCUGACGGAGCGACGCCGCGUGGAGGACGACGCCUUUGUUGGUGUAAACUCCUUUUUUCCGGGAAGAUGAUGACGGUACCGGAAGAAUAAAGGACGGCUAACUACGUG
rnacentral:rRNA from 1 species